AAUAAUUAUCAAUUCAUAUGAGAUCUGAAAAUAUUAGUCAACAUUUAUGGUGUCGAACAAAAAGCAGUUCGACACUGUAAAUGUCAAACUGCCACGCGGAAUUAGUGUUGAACAAGCUAUUUUCUAUUCAUGUCACGAGAGCAAUUUCAAAUUGCUUCCGUUGGAUGCCGAACAUGCACAAAUAUCAAGAUUUCGUCAUGUGACCAAGUACCGAACACUUUUCUUAUGCAUGCAUUUUCGGAAACACUUUUUUGAAGCCAAAGUCUCCCACCAUCUCCUUCUUUUUCCAAAUUUUCAUUCUUCACCUCUCGGGUUCUUCACUUCUCCCUCUCCAGCUCUUCACUUCACC
rnacentral:lncRNA from 1 species